UCAGACCCUUCCAAGCAUCAUGGCUGCUUCAGAGAGGUUUUGGUGUGACUUUAAGUGUGACACGUUUCUGUGAUACUAACCUGUUGUUUCAGGCUACUGUCCAUGCUUGUGGGUCUGGAGGGGACCAAAACGUGAUGCUUCAGAGGAAAUUUUGUAAUCCACAGUAACCCAGUUCAGUAAUGUGGCACACAUGAGGUGAAGAAAAUGGCAGAGCUUGUUUCCAAACCUACCAUAUCUCUCAUUCGAGUACUGACCAUCCAUUUUGUUAAGAAAUCGUGGUGACGUAUUAUUUUAAUUUCCUAGUGUUGUGCAAAGCAGAAAUUGGGUCUAUGGCAUUUUAAUGGCAGGCUUUUGGUGAUUGCUUUUGUGUUUAAUAUUGCAAGGUAAAAUGCAACUGGAGGCAAUAAAAGGAGGUGCUUUAAAUACA
rnacentral:lncRNA from 1 species